UACGUAGGUGGCAAGCGUUAUCCGGAAUUAUUGGGCGUAAAGCGCGCGUAGGCGGUUUUUUAAGUCUGAUGUGAAAGCCCACGGCUCAACCGUGGAGGGUCAUUGGAAACUGGAAAACUUGAGUGCAGAAGAGGAAAGUGGAAUUCCAUGUGUAGCGGUGAAAUGCGCAGAGAUAUGGAGGAACACCAGUGGCGAAGGCGACUUUCUGGUCUGUAACUGACGCUGAUGUGCAAAAGCGUGGGGAUCAAACAGGAUUAGAUACC
rnacentral:rRNA from 1 species